GAUGAACGCUGGCGGCGUGCCUAAUACAUGCAAGUCGAGCGAACAGACGAGGAGCUUGCUCCUCUGACGUUAGCGGCGGACGGGUGAGUAACACGUGGAUAACCCACCUAUAAGACUGGGAUAACUUCGGGAAACCGGAGCUAAUACCGGAUAAUAUAUUGAACCGCAUGGUUCAAUAGUGAAAUACGGUUUUGCUGUCACUAAUAGAUGGAUCCGCGCCGCAUUAGCUAGUUGGUAAGGUAACGGCUUACCAAGGCGACGAUGCGUAGCCGACCUGAGAGGGUGGUAGGCCACACUGGAACUGAGACACGGUCCAGACUCCUGCGGGAGGCAGCAGUAGGGAAUCUUCCGCAAUGGGCGAAAGCCUGACGGAGCAACGCCGCGUGAGUGAUGAAGGUCUUCGGAUCGUAAAACUCUGUUAUUAGGGAAGAACAAAUGUGUAAGUAACUAUGCACGUCUUGACGGUACCUGGUCAGAAAGCCACGGCUAACUACGUG
rnacentral:rRNA from 1 species